rnacentral:tRNA from 12 species
CAGUAGCUCAGUUGGAUAGAGCAACGGCCUUCUAAGCCGUGGGUCGGGGGUUCGAAUCCCUCCUGG